rnacentral:rRNA from 1 species
AUUGAACGAUGGCGGCAGGCCUAACACAUGCAAGUCGAGCGAGCGGCGGACGGGUGAGUAAUGUCUGGGGAUAUGCCUGAUGGAGGGGGAUAACUACUGGAAACGGUAGCUAAUACCGCAUACAAUCAGAUGAACCCAUAUGGGAUUAGCUAGUAGGUGGGGUAACGGCUCACCUAGGCGACGAUCCCUAGCUGGUCGGAGAGGAUGAUCAGCCACACUGGAACUGAGACACGGCCCAGACCCCUACGGGAGGCAUCAGUGGGGAAUAUUGCACAAUGGGCGCAAUCCGGAUGCAGCCAUGUCGCGUGUGUGAAGAAGGGCUUCGGAUUGUAAAGCACUUUAAGUUGGGAGGCGUUACCAUCAGAAUAAGCACCGUCUAACUUCGUGCCAGCAGCCGCGGUAAUUC